AUGUACUCCAACACCACCGACGACUGCUACGACGCCGGCAAGCACGGGCACGGGCACGGGCAUGGCCAUGGCCAUGGGCACGGCUACGGUGGUGGCGGCAGGACCAUGUACUCCAACACCGUCGACGAGGAGUGCUUCGACUCCGGCAGGCACGGGCAUGGGCACGGCCACGGCUACGGGCACAACGACGGUAGGGCCAUGUCCUACUCCACCACCACCGAGGAGUGCUUCGGCGGAGGCGAGCAGGGCCAGGGGUACUAUAAGAAGGAGGUGAAGCAGCACAAGAACAGGGAGCGCGUCGGCGAGGUCGGCGCACUCGCCGCCGGUGCCUUCGCCCUGUAUGAGGGGUACGAGGUGAAGAAGGACCCGGCACACGCGAGGAAGCACCAGAUCGAGGCCGGUGUGGCGGGGGCGGCAGCGCUCGGCGCCGGCGGCUACGCGUACCACGAGCACCGCGAGCAGAAGCAGGCCGCCUACGGCGGGCAGCAGGAGUACAGGAUGCCCGUCCACAACGGCUACUGCAACUAA
rnacentral:rRNA from 1 species